rnacentral:rRNA from 1 species
UACAGAGGGUGCGAGCGUUAAUCGGAAUUACUGGGCGUAAAGCGUGCGCAGGCGGUUUUGUAGGCCAGAUGUGAAAUCCCCGGGCUUAACCUGGGAAUGGCAUUCGGGACUGCAAGGCUGGAGUGCGGCAGAGGAGACUGGAAUUCCUGGUGUAGCAGUGAAAUGCGUAGAUAUCAGGAGGAAUACCGAUGGCGAAGGCAGGUCUCUGGGCUGACACUGACGCUCAUGCACGAAAGCGUGGGGAGCAAACAGG